GGGGCCCUGUGGGUUCCUGGGAUUGGGGCUCCCCAGCUCAGUGCGAGCUUCCAGAGAGCUGGGCAGUCUGCCCAGCACAGAAGGUCGGGUCCACGCCAGUGCUGGAGGAUGAGAAAUCAGCAUCCAGCAACCAGGAAAAGACAAAAAGAAACAUGAAGGGGGGAGGGUCACACGAGCCUUCCCCUUCAGCAGAGGAGCUAUGGACAGUUGAUGACUGCCAGGAGAGGGAAAGUCGGUUUUCUUCAGGAGUGUGGUCCUUGGUGUGUUGACUAUCCAGGGGAUGAUUCUACUCCAUGUGUACAUGGGCAGCACUGACUGGACUCGAACAUCCCGAGUACUUCAGAAGGAGGAAUAGGAGCACACACCUAUAAUCUCAGGACUCAGCCUGAGGCCCAAGGUUUGCAAGUUGAAGGACAGCCUGUGCUACAUAGAGGGUGCUGGCCAGCCUGGGCUACAAAGUGAAACUGCUUCUGCUCUCUACCUUGAAAACAAAAGAGCAGAAAGAAAAGAGAAGAGGGAGGAAUGGAGAAGGACAGAGGUGGGGGAGAGGAGGGGGAGGGGAGAGAGCAGCAGUGAGACACACAGGAAAGACAGAGGAGCACAGGGCUUCCCUCAAGCUCCAUCAUGGCCGCCCUUUCCAAAGGUCACCAUGUUCUUCCUUCUGUGCGUUUGUUGUCUACUUCUAGUUAGUUUUUACUUCUAUUGUGUAGUAGUGCUGGUACCUAACCCAGGGCUCCAGGC